UACGAAACAAAUGUACUCACAUACCGACUAUCACACAAUAUUUAACUAAAACCAACAAUAAUAUAUAGACAAAUUAGGUCUAUAAUAAUUAUGACAAAAUUUCAAACUUCAGACCGCUAUACAACUCUCCCCUUUUCUUGCCUUUGCUUGGUAUCACGCCUUCAAUGCUCGAUCCUAUUAUAAGCAAAAAGAUACUACUUUAGUAUCCUUCCGAAACGACUAUCCUAUUUCUACCCUUUCGCGAUAUAUAUAUACACGGCACAUUAUAUAGCACAUAACAAGUUGCACACAUUAUAGUUUUAUAACUUAAAACCCACUCAGAAUAUUAUUUAACACGAGAACGCGUCUUAAGUUAAUAUUUCUACGGAAAAUUCGGCAUGACCUAUUCGUAAAUAGGACUAUCCCCCUGUUUUCAAAUCAAUCCAAUCAAGCUCUUUAACCAAAUAAAAUACUAACAUAAAGAAAAUCUGCCUCGACAUGCAGUAAAUCACAUAAGAAAAGUACCCGCCCCGACAUGCGGCACCUAACACAUAAUGAUAAAUAAUCCGCCCAGACAUGCGGCACCUAAACACAUAAUGAUUGAAAGAAACUAACAGCUUACCUUUAAAACAGAAAGUAAUUCAAUAUUAAUACAUUAUACUAUCAAGAAUAACACUCUGACAUUUAACACGUAGCACUUAGCAGGUAUCACAUAUUUCCAUACAUUUACUUACCACUUAUCAUAAUACUCAAUUUAGAUACUAUUCAAAUCAAAUAUAUACAAGUUGAAUUAAAUAAGCAUAUCACUAUAACUAUUUAAGAUAUCGCAUAUUUAUAUUAUUAAUAUUAUUAUUUACUAUUAUUACUACUAGUGCAAGUAAUAAUAAUAAUAAAGAAUAAUACUAAUAUUUAUUAAUAUUCGACAUCCUAAAAUUACCAAGUAAACACAGUUUCACACAUUAAGAUCAAUAAUAAUGCUAUGUAUUACUGCUAUUACUAACAAAUCACAUAAAUAUUAUUUAUAGAUUUUAUAGAAAUAUCACGAAUCAGUAACUAUAUAAAUUCGAUUAAUAGUCCGAUAAUUAUAGGAUACACUCCCGUAUAAUUUAAAAAUCUAAAUUUUAUUUGAAAAUCGGGCAGCACCUCCUCUAUUUGUCGGACUACCAGUCGAUAUCAUAUCGACACCAACAGUCACAAUCAAGCCUGCAAUCAAUCCAAACAACUUACUUUACAACUAAUAAUUAAACUCGAUACUCAAUCAAAUGACCCAACAACCGAAAUAAUAAAUAAAAGCGUAUCGAGAAAUCCAUAUCAAGACUCGAGCCACCCGCAUAAUUUACACAGCCCAGCAAUCAACACACGGCCAACUCGGCCCCACACGAACUCACCCGACACACACACUCGAAUACACAGUAUACACACGCUGCACACACUCUUACACGCACAAAAUACACGCGUAUAUACACGCAACACAGCAGCGAAACAAGGGGGAAAAACAGGGAAAUCGAGGGAGAGAAACCAGAGCAAGAGAGAGAUGCCGAGUCUGGUGGCUGACGGCAGCGAGAGAGACCCAGGGAGAGGUGAAGAACGGCUGAGGAAGUGGUGGUUCGCCGGAGUAAGAGCCGCGCGGAGAGAGACGGCGAGAGAGAGACUUGGCCAGUGGAGGGAGAUUCAGGCGAGNNN
rnacentral:lncRNA from 1 species